UCUUUUCCUUUUUUGCCCGCCGCCGCGGUAAUACGGAGGAUGCGAGCGUUAUCCGGAUUUAUUGGGUUUAAAGGGAGCGCAGGCUGCGAGGCAAGUCAGCGGUCAAAUGUCGGGGCUCAACCCCGGCCUGCCGUUGAAACUGUCUUGCUAGAGUUCGAGUGAGGUAUGCGGAAUGCGUUGUGUAGCGGUGAAAUGCAUAGAUAUGACGCAGAACUCCGAUUGCGAAGGCAGCAUACCAACUCGCGACUGACGCUGAGGCUCGAAAGCGUGGGUAUCGAACAGG
rnacentral:rRNA from 1 species